rnacentral:rRNA from 1 species
UGCGUAGGUGGUUCUCUAAGUUUGGUGUGAAAUCUCCCGGCUCAACUGGGAGGGUGCGCCGAAAACUGGAGGGCUUGAGUGUGGGAGAGGAAAGCGGAAUUCCUGGUGUAGCGGUGAAAUGCGUAGAUAUCAGGAGGAACACCUGCGGUGUAGACGGCUUUCUGGACCACUACUGACACUGAGGCACGAAAGCGUGGGUAGCAAACA